rnacentral:misc_RNA from 1 species
GAUGAAGAACGCAGCGAAAUGCGAUAAGUAGUGUGAAUUGCAGAAUUCAGUGAAUCAUCGAAUCUUUGAACGCACAUUGCGCCCCUUGGUAUCCCGAGGGGCAUGCCUGUUCGAGCGUCAUUUCACCACUCAAGCCUGGCCUGGUGUUGGGCGACGUCCCCUUUGGGGACGCGCCUCGAAACGCUCGGCGGCGUGGCACCGGCUUUAAGCGUAGCAGAAUCUUUCGCUUUGGAAGUCGGGGCCCCGUCUGCCGGAAGACCUACUCGCAAGGUUGACCUCGGAUCAGGCAGGGAUACCCGCUGAACUUAAGCAUAUCAAUAAGCGGAGGA